CCUGCGGGGCGGUAUUCCCGCGGGGGUUCGCUGGGGCGCGAGAUCCCGCGAGAGCCGAGGCUGGGCUGGAGCAUCUUCCAAAGGCGGGAGCCGGGCGCCGCCCUGGGUCUGGCUGCCGGCCCAGGUGGCUGCAGAGAAGAGGGCGGAGACCCCUGGAAAGAGGGUGCCGUGGCUGACUGUCCCUGGAAGGCUGCUGGUCGCUGUCAGAACUCAGAUGCCACCCUAACCGGUUUGGCUCAGUGGAUAGAGCGUCAGC